rnacentral:lncRNA from 1 species
UCGUGAAGAAUCCCAUGGAGCUCUUUGUGGUGAGUCUCCGAAAAUUAAGUAGCAUAUGUUGUCAUGAUAUGAGCAUAAGAUUAAUACAAACAUUUAUUCAUUAUUGAAAAGAUACAUAGUGGAAGGCAUAUACAAUCUAGCGAUUGACACCUUCUCUACACACAUACACAAACAUGCAAGCACUAGAGUCUUCACAUUGUUCUCACAUACAUGACAAUUAUUGAAAACAUGAAAAACAACAUUGUGAACCUCCUUCACCCGUGAUAUUUUCAUGCUCUUGUCUAUGCAGUUUCAACUGCAUUCAUCGAGCCCUUGGUACAUACUGUAGAACAUGCGUUGGCACAUCUGUCAACCGCUCCACUCACGAUUUCACUUGCAUCUA